AUGCCGGACCUGACGACCCACUCCGACGGCGUCGCCUUCGCCCUCACGGCCUCCACCUGCCACGGCGCCGUCCGCCUGCGCGCCUCCGGCCGGCGCACGCUGGCCGCCGACCUCCACGAGCACCAGCUCUUCGUCCACCUCGUUCUCGACCGCGGCCGCCGCCGCGUCCUCAUGGGCAACAAGGGCGGCAGCGCCGCCGAGUUCCUGGGCAUGGAGCGGCGCAGGCGGGCCGAGGCCGUCGCGCGCAUCGUGGCGAGGGCCCGGUUGCCGCCGGAGUGCGCCGAGGCCGUGGAGCGGCUGUGCGUGGCCUCGGCGGCGUACGGCCGGGAGAAUGCGUGCGACGACGUGACGGUUGCCGUGGUCUGGAAGCCACGCGCCGGCCUGGGAACAGGGUUCGCCGCCGGUGCCAAUCUUCCGUCACAUGCGUCGUACUCCGCGUUGAGCAUCUCUAAUUUGACUUGGUUGUUCGGCUACAGCUAG
rnacentral:rRNA from 1 species